UUGAAUGUUUGAAGUUUGCUGAGCUGGUCUUGUUUAAUUGGGGCAUGUGCUCGCUGCUUCUAUUCAUCUUUAUCCACCUGUGCACUUAUUGUAGAGCUUUUGAAGAGGGUCUUAGUUUCACUCUAAGGCUAGUAUUUGAGGUUCUAUGUCUUUAUUAAACUCUUAUGAAUGUCUUGAAUGUCUUUUUAUUGGGACUUGACUGGCCCUUUAAAAUUUUGUA
rnacentral:misc_RNA from 1 species